CCCUUCCUCUCAGUCACGGCUCAAGGUACAGCCGAUACGAAGCGCCACGGGUUACGAUGCUAAUAAUCAAUCGAAUUAGUUUAAUUUACGAUUGCCUUUUUUUUCCAGUCUUGAAAUGAUGUCACAAUAAAAGAUAUAGUUGACAUAAAGCUUGUUCGAUAUGUGCAUAUAUCUUGGUGAUUUAAAGGCAAAUAGAAAAAGACGGUAAAACACGUGUUCAUUAUAAAUUUACAUCUACUACUCUCUUGCAAAGCUAUAGGAUUGCAUCCUGUAACACGAACACAAAAAGUUUGAAACAAGAGAGAGGAUGAAUUCAACUAACAUUACACCAAUGUACCAUGAAGCUACAGAGAUAAUUCAAUCAUAAUUAUUAACAAAAAGAACUAUGAGAGACUAAGAAAGCUGUAUAAUCAUUAGUGUUGAUCAAUUUCCACGAGGAUUUAUUGCCCCUUUAUGAAGAACUUUUUAAGCUCAUUUACUUUUUCUCUUAUUUACGAGAAACUUCUGCACCGUUUCAUCACCCUAUACUAAUGAUGGACACAAACUUUUAAAUUUAUAAAUUUAUGAUGUGACUAAAACAUGAAUAAACGCUAUUGUAUCAAUGAACAAUCGAAAAAUCUCAUCAAAGAAGAAAAUUAUUAGAAAGAAAAGGAAAUAACUGUAAAAGAUAGAUUAAGGUCAAGGGUAAAGUUCAGCGGUAAGAAUGAAAAGAAGGUGCAGGUGGAGAUGGGUCAGAGUAAUUUUAAACAACCGUGCGACUGGUUUCUCGAGAUUUCACGCUGGUUCCUGACAGGUAAUGCCCUCGGGACGAACAUGGAAAAAAACCAAAUGGAAACCUAAUGUAUCGCUUCAAACGGACCUGUCAUUGAAACUGAUCAUUCCACGCGGGAGGUACGGAUCCUUGCGUCUUAUUCUUGACCGACUACUUCUGGCCAAUCAUCCCGCAUUCUGAAUGGGCCACCUGCAGUUACGGAAAGAAGGGAUGCAUGAUAAACUCGAACCGUUUGACCAGAUAGAUUAGUCCAGAAUCCUUCUUUCUUCGAGCAGAUAAUGGACAAUGCGACGUUUCAUCGUGCAUGGAUUUUCGUAUGAAAAGAUAAGAAGCGCAGAAGGGGAAAGUCACAUGAAUCAAUGUAUGUAGAAAGAUAAGGGUUGUUCAAGGACAGCGGAGUUUAAAGAGACAAACGGUGAAUUCCACGUCUCAAUUUCUAUGGACUCGAAAAUAUAUGCAUUCGGAAAGCCAUAUUUUAGGUUCGAUUGUAUCCACGACAAAGAGAAAACAUGAAAAAAGAAAAUGAUGAAAAAGGGAAGAACGAACGCGGUCAUUCAAAGACACAUCGAUAUUCCCCAUGCUCUCCAUCUUGUCGUCACGAUAUAAAAUACCGGCUAAAAAAGGAGCGCUGAAUGGCCGAUACCUGACUAAAAACCGGACUUGUUCUCGUUACACGAAGCCAAAGAAACGAAGCAGUUGGUUGCAGCACGGUGCAGGUGGGUUGCCAGAUGGCCAGAACGGAAACAGUGAAUGAAGGAACGAAAAGAAACGAAAGGAACACCGUUCAUCACGAAUACGCGACAAGACAAACGCGACCGCGCGAACCGAAUACCAAUUUCGAGUUCCUGUCGCGCGAUUCUGGGCAUUUAUUCUCAUUUUGUUCAACACGUUGUAAAAUUUCACACAAUUAUACAGAAAAAAAACGA